rnacentral:rRNA from 1 species
GGAGUUAGCCGGUGCUUCUUCUGUGAGUGAUAUCCUUCCUGCCGGCUAUUAACCCGCAGGCCUUCUUCCUCACUGAAAGUGCUUUACAACCCGAAGGCCUUCUUCACACACGCGGCAUGGCUGGAUCAGGGUUGCCCCCAUUGUCCAAUAUUCCCCACUGCUGCCUCCCGUAGGAGUCUGGGCCGUGUCUCAGUCCCAGUGUGGCUGAUCAUCCUCUCAGACCAGCUACGGAUCGUCGCCUUGGUGAGCCGUUACCUCACCAACCAGCUAAUCCGACAUAGGCUCAUCCGAUAGCGCGAGGCCCGAAGGUCCCCCGCUUUCCCCCGUAGGGCGUAUGCGGUAUUAGCCUGGGUUUCCCCAGGUUAUCCCCCACUACCGGGCAGAUUCCUAUGCAUUACUCACCCGUCCGCCGCUCGCCACCAGGGAGCAAGCUCCCCGUGCUGCCGCUCGACUUGCAUGUGUUAGGCCUGCCGCCAGCGUUCAAUCUGAGCCAGGAUCAAACUCUGA